UCUGGCUAGCGCCUCUUCAGCGACGGUCAAAGCAUUCACUGAUGAAAGGAUACUCCCCCGCAUGUAUCACCUGUGCUACACUUCCUUAGGCAAUUCAUGCGACGGCUGAACGAUAUCGACGGACCGUGUAUGAUAUCCUAUACGAUGUGUAAUAAGUCUGCGUAGAAUACGUAUUUUCCGGUGGUGCCUGAGUUACGAUUUCGCUGGCCGCAAUCAAUCGGUUAUAUCCAUGCGACCAGGACUAAUUCUGGCCUAUCGUUUCCAACAAUGGGGGAUGUGACCAAAAAGGCCGGUGGUUAUGUUCAGGUCAAGCUUAUUCCGUCCGAUCGUAGCGGCCAAACAUGGUCUGGUUGGGCCCGUCGAUGGGUCGAUCUCUUACUUGUAAAGAAAGAUUCAAUGAAGACCAAAAAAGAGACCUUCAUUGAAGCAUGGAUUGAAGUGCGCAAGAAAAAGAGUUCGGCUAAACCCAUUAAAAUGUGGACUAUCGAUGCUAAAGACACACUGGUAUAUCGGUGUACGUCGAGGAGCAAGAAUCAUCCAUUUGGAAUUCGAUUCAAAGGCAAGGAUUUACUCUACCUUAGCGGAAAUUCGGAGAGUGAGAGUCAGGAAUGGAUGAAGCGUAUUAGAAGCACCCUGUGGCCUGUUGACAAGGGGGUCGAGUUGGAGACUUCUGCUGGAAAACUGUUCGAGGUGUCCGUAAUCGACAACAAUUACUCUGUAUCAUGCGAACUGCUCGGCAGUUAUGGCCAUUUAACUGUGCGAGAAAACAAACUUAUGAUGUUUGAUUAUAAUGGAAGAUAUAUUGUUCAGGAAUGGUAUCUGCACACGAUACGCAAACUGGAUGCGUUCAAAGCUUCGCAAAUCGACACCGGUCGACUCCUCAGCGUUCACCUCGGGGAGAACAGUUCGACCGGUUGUGGAGUUCUCUACCUGUUCUGUCCUAGUGCAGUUCUUCUACUAGAAACAGUGCAAGCAAAAAUUAAAGAAAUUUUCAGCAAUCUUGAGGACGAACGCAAAGCCCAACAGGCAACGCUGUUAAGCUUGGGUGCCCUUCAUGAUAUUAGCCUAGAGGAGUUUGAAGCCCGAGACGACGAUUUCGCGACGAAGACGAUAACCAUUUCCGAUGAAAUCAUAAAGGCUAAAAAUGAGCUUACGGUAGGAGGAAUUCGGGGUACGCCAAGGCCUUCAAAUGCUGCUCCGAUGCAACAGUCUGCCAUGAAAAAUGAACCUUGGCAAGAUAAUUGUCUCUACGAGGGUGUCGAGAGGGCGGAUUACACUCCCGAGCUUGACCGGGAGAGAGAAGAUGGUAAAAAACAAAGAUCCCAGUCACUGGUGGUGAUGACCCGGCCCAGAACUAACAGCUGUACCCUUGAACUGGAUCUCCCUGAUCUAACCAAACUUAAAAAGCACCUGCUUAAGCGCAGAGGCAGCUUGCCUCAACGUCGAACGACAGAUGAAAUUAAGAGCCAAAUGUCGUUGGUGACUAACGCUCGACUGAGAGAUAGCCAAACUCGACAAGACCUUCACAGAUUCAGGCAGGUCCUCAAUCUAUCAGCUACAAGGGACAUUGUGAGGCUUGACAAGUCCUCGUCAGGAUCUGCACUCGGCGCAGUCAAUGAAGUUGAAGAAUCAUCGACCGAUACAGAUUCUCCCAGCACAACACCUCCAUCAGUACAAACGACUAUCACGGAAAGCGUAACAGAUAUUCCUAAGCAUUUAAAAGAGAAUGCUGCUUCUGAGUUUGCUACAGCGUCUAUUGAGAACGACGGUACCAGCCCCAGCGAAAACACUGACUUCUCGAAUGCUGACAAGGAAGGCGCUUUCGACAGAUUUACCCUUGAUAUGCAAGAAGAACAGCCGACGCCGGCCAAGGGAGCUGACAAGGCGAUAGAGGCGAAUUCGUCGAAAACCUUUGAUGCGACGCAAGACGUUGCUCCAGCGGAUAGCGAUAUCCGUAAAGAAAACGGCGAUAAUAACAAUGUUAAUAUGGAGAAAGAAAAAAAUAUAGGGCGGGAUAAUAUCCAGGCGGUGACUAUCAACUUCGGUCUAGCUGCUACCGGCGUCCCUCCUCCGAAGCCUCAGCGAAUAAUACAGUAUACAAGAGACACAGAUGGAAAGAAAACAACAAUCAUUGAAGACCUAAUGUGACUUUGCUUUGCACGACAAACUACUGAAUAUAACUUACUUUCUAUGGUGUACUCAAGAACGCGCUACCUUUUUAUCUAUUCAGAAUAUGCAGAAGAAGAUAUUUAGCUGGACCGUGGUCGUCCCACGGCUUUUUGGACUUACUCAAACAUCGCCUAAAUAAGUGCAUCUGGGGAAAGCAAAAUGUAUUUGAACCCGAUGUGAUCAUAGGCUGCAUUGUACCUACGAAAUGUGAUCAAAAAUCAAGAACACCCCACUUUCGCGCAGCCUGCUGUCGUUGAUGAUUUGAAGCACGCAUUACAUUCUAACUUACUAGACCGAAACUUCAACCAACUGAAUAACACUACAUGUAUCAAUUUGUGUGGUAGUAAGUUGUAUGCGCGGUAAUUGUACGUUAUUAAAUUGGUGGACGCAGGUUAUUUGGUGUCCUUUUAAUAUGAAUAUCGUUAGAAUGAGGUUACUCACAUAGUAAGAAGCUUAUUGUAGAAAGUGGCUGAAACAGUUUGCAUAGGAAAGUUAUUAUAUAGUUAAUCCAUAUCUCGAGUCUGGUACUAUAUUUGGGCAUUGCUUGAGAUCGCUGACCCCUACCAAAAUGUAACGGGGUGCGUCUACGGUCCGAUUUCAACCCUGGACCAUCGCAUAUUUUCAAGUUUAUUAGACAAGCGUGGUACCGAUUGUAUUUUUAUGGGGAUAUGUGAUUAUACGUUAAGAAGGCUUUUUCAUUCUAGCUUUUUUUCUUCCAGUUGCAUUCUUUUAAUUUUAUUCAUCUUUAUCGAAUACAAGGAAAGGGUCGAUAGUCCUUUUUUAAGUUUGUAUAUAUUUUUCGAACUGCUCUUGCUCCUUGUAGAACGAUACGGCUUAUUGGAAACUUUCCAACGGUAGACCUGGCGAAAUGAUAGUGGGUAUAGGAUCACGUAUUCUGUUCACGUGCGCCAACAGUACCGAACAGCAUUACGUCGUGCUGAAAGGAAGUGUCCAGCUUAGGUUUUCAACGACAGGGAUAUAUAGGAUAUAGCUCCUAGUUGUUCUUAAUCUUUUAGCACCAACACCUUCUCUAACGAUCAAAUUCUAAAAGAUUACAGGUAACAACAUCAUGAACCGUUGGUACUUUAUCGAACUGCGACUUUUAAGUACCAAAUGAAGGGUGAUAAUAACGACAAACGAAGCAUCAUUUUAUAUUAUAAGCGAGACACUUGUGUUACACUACAAUCAGAGAAAAAUUAUAUGAAACAAGAUCGCUUAAACAUAACCCUAAUAAAAU